GAGAGUUAAGAGACCUGGAUUCCUGUCCAAAUUCAGCCACUUAAUUAGUUUUCUCUAUCUCAAACCAUGAAAACAAAGGAUACCACUGAACAAGCAUUAUGUCAUAUUUGUCACAUUAUGCCACAUUUAGUCGGCACUGUUCCUUUCCUUCCAUCCCAGCAUGAGUUGAAACUUUACUGAGCAUACUGGAGCCUUUGAGAAAGUCAAAUAAAGAGCAACCCUCUUCUCCAUUGAAGUUCUGAACCAACCAAUAAAGCAAAAGAGUUAGCAGAUUUCAAGGCAUCUGCAUAGUGUACCCUGAGUCAAGUUUUGGUUGGCAGUGUCAAGAUGGCUGCACUGCUCCUCGCUGUGUUCAAGUUAGAAAGAGGCAUUGUGGUGUGACAAGUAAAGGCUCUGUGGCUUGGGAAUCAAAGCACCUGUGUUCAAGUUUCAAUGACACCUGUUUCUACUUGUGCCAUCCUAGGGGUAUGUGUUAGCAGCUCUGAAACUACAUGUAUAAUAAGGUCAAACCAAGAAAAUAUAUUGCAGAUAAUGAAAGCCAGGCUUCUCCCUGUCAGAGAAAGAAGUUGACAAACAAGAAAAAGUUCUCUGAGAGCAAGGACAAGAUGCCAUUCCCCCAGGAUGCCUGGAUCAGUCAGGGUCACAAGCCUGUCCAGAGCGAUUGUCUCCUUUUCACAGACUAAACAACACUAAGUUGCAUUCACAUCAAAGCAGCUAAUCUCCUGAUGUCCCAAGAUACCACAUCCGUUCAGAACAGCCCUGUGGGCGAGACCCUGACAAGGUUGGCUCCAUGCGGUCCGGUUUGCACAAGGCUUCGGGGUGGUCACAGUACCUGAGAGGGGUACGUACUAUCACAGGAAGGCCCCAGGCAGUGCCGCCAGGAAGAGGGUUUCUUCCCCGGUUCGCGGCAUCUCUCAGCCACCGUCUUGCAGCUCCUCGUGUGGACAUAGUCCACCUUCCGAGACUGGAAGCUCUGACCACAGGCUGACGUACAGGGUCUCCAAGGGCCUGCGCGCCAACAUGCGUCACAAGCCCCCGACAAGCAGUUCCUCCAAAAGGUGGGUCUGAAAUGAGAAAAACAAACAAAAAAGUGGACAACAGGAGAAAGUGGGGUGUCACUUCUUGCUGGGAUCAAGCCUUUUACUGUACUGUACUUUCCGUAUAGCAAAGGCUUGACAAUUCGGACCUUAUUCAACAGGAAACUCAUCUGCAUUGCUCCUGGCUGACUAAGCAAAGUGGUGGAGGAAUCACAACCUCAGUAGAGGCGAGCAAACCACGUGUUUCCAUGAGCCUCCAGCACCACAUCAAGGCACGCACCUCAAAAGACACAGUCUCCUGAUGAGCUGGAGCAGAUCGAUUUAGGCAAGGAAGAGAAGAAUGACACAUUUGUUAACAAACUAAGACAGGGCCAGUGGGAAGUCAGAAGAAACUAUGUAGCUUCCUAAACAUGAAAGAUGAGAGAGGCACAAGGAGCUAGAGACCAAGGCAGAUGCUGAAACCCAGGAGGCUGGUCAUUGAGGAUGCAGCGAAAGAGUGCAAGGU